rnacentral:rRNA from 1 species
AUGAGUAUCUUUUCUUGGAACUGUCGUGGUGUGGGUAAAGCCGCUGCAGUUCGUGAACUUCAUGAUUUCGCGAGAAAGUUUACCCCUACCCUGCUAUGCAUUGUUGAAACCCAAAUUGAUGGCGCCAGGGUAGAAGCUAUGGCUAGUUCUAUUGGUUAUGAUAAGUCUUACACAGUUGAUAGUAAUGGUAGAAGUGGUGGAAUAGGCCUUUUUUGGAACAAUUCAAUAAAGAUUGGAAUUCUCGGUUUCUCCGUCUAUCAUCUAGAUGUAUCUGUUGAGGAACAUGGGAGAGAUAUAUGGCGGCUAACAUGUGUAUAUGGAGAAGCCGAGACAUACUUGUGCCAUCAAACAUGGAUGGUUCUGAAAAAUAUUAGGACUUUGAGAAGCUUGCCUUGGUUAUGCAUCGGUGAUUUUAAUGAAGUCUUAUGUCCAGAAGAACACGAGGGAGUAGGGCAACACAGCAAUGCCCAAAUACAAGCAUUCCGAGAAACCACGGAUGUUUGCUAG